AAGACUGGGAUAACUUCGGGAAACCGGAGCUAAUACCGGAUAAUAUUUUGAACCGCAUGGUUCAAAAGUGAAAGACGGUCUUGCUGUCACUUAUAGAUGGAUCCGCGCUGCAUUAGCUAGUUGGUAAGGUAACGGCUUACCAAGGCAACGAUGCAUAGCCGACCUGAGAGGGUGAUCGGCCACACUGGAACUGAGACACGGUCCAGACUCCUACGGGAGGCAGCAGUAGGGAAUCUUCCGCAAUGGGCGAAAGCCUGACGGAGCAACGCCGCGUGAGUGAUGAAGGUCUUCGGAUCGUAAAACUCUGUUAUUAGGGAAGAACAUAUGUGUAAGUAACUGUGCACAUCUUGACGGUACCUAAUCAGAAAGCCACGGCUAACUACGUGCCAGCAGCCGCGGUAAUACGUAGGUGGCAAGCGUUAUCCGGAAUUAUUGGGCGUAAAGCGCGCGUAGGCGGUUUUUUAAGUCUGAUGUGAAAGCCCACGGCUCAACCGUGGAGGGUCAUUGGAAACUGGAAAACUUGAGUGCAGAAGAGGAAAGUGGAAUUCCAUGUGUAGCGGUGAAAUGCGCAGAGAUAUGGAGGAACACCAGUGGCGAAGGCGACUUUCUGGUCUGUAACUGACGCUGAUGUGCGAAAGCGUGGGGAUCAAACAGGAUUAGAUACCCUGGUAGUCCACGCCGUAAACGAUGAGUGCUAAGUGUUAGGGGGUUUCCGCCCCUUAGUGCUGCAGCUAACGCAUUAAGCACUCCGCCUGGGGAGUACGACCGCAAGGUUGAAACUCAAAGGAAUUGACGGGGACCCGCACAAGCGGUGGAGCAUGUGGUUUAAUUCGAAGCAACGCGAAGAACCUUACCAAAUCUUGACAUCCUUUGACAACUCUAGAGAUAGAGCCUUCCCCUUCGGGGGACAAAGUGACAGGUGGUGCAUGGUUGUCGUCAGCUCGUGUCGUGAGAUGUUGGGUUAAGUCCCGCAACGAGCGCAGCCCUUAAGCUUAGUUGCCAUCAUUAAGUUGGGCACUCUAAGUUGACUGCCGGUGACAAACCGGAGGAAGGUGGGGAUGACGUCAAAUCAUCAUGCCCCUUAUGAUUUGGGCUACACACGUGCUACAAUGGACAAUACAAAGGGCAGCGAAACCG
rnacentral:rRNA from 1 species